AUGCGCUGUGGGUGAACUCCUUAAGGCAAAGUAGGAACAGGAUGAGUUAAUGCUAAGCUUGGAAGGAGUUCCUUUAGGGUUUCCGGUGGUGAAGACGUCUAGCUCACUUUACUAGUUAGUGUCCAGUCUUGUUGACAUUCACCUCUCUGAUCUCUCUGCUAUGAAGCAAUGGAUAUGGCAAAACCUGUGUCACCCAGUGGCACUCUACAAGCGGAUACAAUUUCUGACACUGCAAAGAAGCCCCUGGACCUGGACCUCUCCAGCAGCUGAGGAACUAAAACCUGACCCUGCAGGAGGCUGCUAGAACCUUCCUCCAUGGCCAAGGCCAAGCAGCCGUCUUGUGGCUAUGGGGAAAAUGCCAAGACUGUCUACAAGACCUGCUCAGAGCCCCGGAGUGAUUAAGCCACUGAAUUCACCCUAGGACUGACCGCCCUCAGCAUCUCGCUCUGAGGCUGCAAGCGGCUUGUCCACAAGUGCAGGGUGAAGACUGACAGAGCAGGUCCCAGAACGGAGAGCCUGGUUCUCUAAGCCUUGGAUUUUCCCACCCCCGCCACGCAUCGUGGAGACAUCACGGCACAAGGUUUCAGAACACUGGCUCUGGCAUGAGAGUCGAUUUCCAGGUCUGCCACGUACUAGGUGUGUGACAGAGACAAUUGAUUAAAUUCAACUGCUAACCGCUAUCAGCUCAGACCCUCUGAAAUUCAGUUCCUCUCCUCGGGUUGUUCAAAGCUCCUGGGGCGCUGUGCAGAGCGGAACGUGUAAGGAGGCGACAUCCUUGUUUGUUCCACACUGGUUACCAUAGAGCUUCCCAUCGGCAAGAAGGGAAGAGAGAUUUUGCACUAAUUUGAUCCCAAGUGACUGUAACAAUGCCGGAUGCAUAGAAGGAACUCAGACGUUGCUGCUUGUAGGCUUUGAGGGGUCUCCCUGAUGGUCCGUCCUCAACAACCUAGGAACUGCACAGCAUCAAGACGUCCUUGUUGGCUUGUUGAGCGAAGCUUGCGGGCACAACGAAAGUCCAUGUGAGGAUGCAGAAGGAAGACAACUGUCCCCAAGCCAAGGAGACAGCCCUUGUCAGAAGCAGAAUGAGCCAGAACCUUGACCUUGCACUUCGAGCCUCCAGAACUGUGAGAAAAUAAAUUUCUGUUGUUUAAGCCACCCAGUCUAUUGUAUUAUCUUGUGACAACCUGAGCUCUCUAAUAUAAUAACCAUAUGUUUAACUUUAUAAGAAACUG